rnacentral:rRNA from 1 species
GACGAACGCUGGCGGCGUGCUUAACACAUGCAAGUCGAGCGAUGAAGCUUCUUCGGAAGUGGAUUAGCGGCGGACGGGUGAGUAACACGUGGGUAACCUGCCUCAUAGAGGGGAAUAGCCUUCCGAAAGGAAGAUUAAUACCGCAUAAGAUUGUAAUAUCGCAUGAUAUAGCAAUUAAAGGAGUAAUCCGCUAUGAGAUGGACCCGCGUCGCAUUAGCUAGUUGGUGAGGUAACGGCUCACCAAGGCGACGAUGCGUAGCCGACCUGAGAGGGUGAUCGGCCACAUUGGGACUGAGACACGGCCCAGACGCCUACGGGAGGCAGCAGUGGGGAAUAUUGCACAAUGGGGGAAACCCUGAUGCAGCAACGCCGCGUGAGUGAUGACGGUCUUCGGAUUGUAAAGCUCUGUCUUUAGGGACGAUAAUGACGGUACCUAAGGAGGAAGCCACGGCUAACUACGUGCCAGCCGCCGCCGUAAUAC